UACGUAGGGGGCUAGCGUUGUCCGGAAUCAUUGGGCGUAAAGAGCGUGUAGGCGGUUCGGUAAGUCCGCUGUGAAAGUCGGGGGCUCAACCCUCGAAUGCCGGUGGAUACUGUCGGGCUAGAGUGCGGAAGAGGCGAGUGGAAUUCCUGGUGUAGCGGUGAAAUGCGCAGAUAUCAGGAGGAACACCUAUUGCGAAGGCAGCUCGCUGGACGGUAACUGACGCUGAGACGCGAAAGCGUGGGGAGCAAACAGG
rnacentral:rRNA from 1 species